UUUAAGUAAAGGUAAACUGGGAAAACUGAUUUGAGCUGAUUAAAAGAAUCUAGGUUUGGGGAAAUUGGUCGUGUGCGAAAUUGGGGAAAUAGGGUUCGUGGUUUAGUGUGGUCGGGAAUUGGGGAACAACAGUGAGCGGUGCUUUAUAUCUGAAAUUAGGCGAACAAAAAGGCACGUUUUGGGAGAUAAUCUUCGUCUAUCGGUGGUUUUAUCGUGGAAAGGUCUGGAGAAGUUGGUUGCACUUCAAGCACGUGAUGAGGUUAGUAUAUCGUGUUUUUUCGAUAAUGUAGCAUGUACAAUUGUAUGGUUACUUUCGAUAAUGGUCCCCCAUGUUUGAUUUAGUGAUGUGGUCCCCCAUAUUUGUAGUUUUGUCAGACUAUUUUUUUUUAUGCAUGUGUUGUUAAAAUGGUCUUGCAAUGUGGUCCCCCAUGUGAUGAGGUUUUAAUUUUAUUUAAGUUUUGGUGUUGCAUUUUUUGUUGAAGGUUUUGUGCAUAUAAGUC
rnacentral:lncRNA from 1 species